GACGAAAGAGGGAGGAGUGAGUAACACAUGCAAGUCGAACGCUGAAGCUUGGUGCUUGCACUGGGUGGAUGAGUGGCGAACGGGUGAGUAAUACGUGAGUAACCUGCCCUUGACUCUGGGAUAAGCCUGGGAAACUGGGUCUAAUACUGGAUACGACAUGUCACCGCAUGGUGGUGUGUGGAAAGGGUUUUACUGGUUUUGGAUGGGCUCACGGCCUAUCAGCUUGUUGGUGGGGUAAUGGCUCACCAAGGGGACGACGGGUAGCCGGCCUGAGAGGGUGACCGGCCACACUGGGACUGAGACACGGCCCAGACUCCUACGGGAGGCAGCAGUGGGGAAUAUUGCACAAUGGGCGGAAGCCUGAUGCAGCGACGCCGCGUGAGGGAUGACGGCCUUCGGGUUGUAAACCUCUUUCAGCACGGAAGAAGCGAAAGUGACGGUACGUGCAGAAGAAGCGCCGGCUCACUACGUU
rnacentral:rRNA from 1 species